GCUAUUGAGUUAGGUGUAUGAACUCCUUAUAUAUUCUGGAAAUUAAUCCUUCAUCUGGCUGCACACCCAUGUCUUUCACAGUGAUUUUAAUCUCUUAAAAGCAGGGCCAGAGCAAGCACACAAACACAUCUUCCAUUUAAAAGACGUUUCGUCUGAACGCGCUGGUUUCUUCCUCUUCAGGCCUUUUUAUAAAGGAGUCGUCCUGUACAACAAGACUCCAGUAACGCAUAACCCUCCAAAUUGAAACCUGCAGUAACAAGACGCCAGGGAGAUGCCCUGAGACCCUCCCGUGCAGGCUAGAACUCAGGCAGCAGUCAAACCAGGCCUGGAGUUGGGACCUGGGCUGUCAAGGCCUUCCUGCAGCCAGGUGGCUCGGAACUGGCAUCCAGGCCCGGCUGCAGGGCCUCCCACAGGUCGCAUGACUGGUCAAGUCCCCUCCUCACUGGCUGCGUUCUCACUCCAGUAAUGCGUAAAGGACAAUUUCGCUGGACUGACCCUAUCAGAUUUGGAACAUCUUAAGACGGCUCAGCUAUUUUCAGGAAAUGGGUGACUUUUCAAUACACAGAAAGGUGAGGUAGACCUUUUGCACCUCUGUCCUUAUUUUACUGGUCUAAACAAGGCGUUCUUUCGCUACUGUUUGAGAAACCAAAAAUAAGAAUGGUUUAACAAGAGCUUGACACACCGCAAAAGAGCCCUUACCCUGUCUCGCCCCUGCACUCUNNNNNNNNNNNNNNNNNNNNNNNNNNNACUCUUUCCAUACAGUAUAAAGCCGUCAUCAGUGACGUCUUCCAGCAAAGGCCAUCGGUAAAGACCCAUCUUGCAUCUCCAGAGGGACCACUGUCCCAGGUGAAGGGGUGACUCAGGCAGACAGAGGGGUAUGUCUUACAGGUGCUCUUUGACAAGGACACUGUGGACGCAUAGACUCGAGUGAGGGGGUCAUGCUGACAGCACAUAGGCCUCUUCGCUGCAGAACUUCUCAGAGCCUUCAACAUAAAACGUGCGUGGGAAGGGGCCGUGUAUGAGUGGGGCCUCCCAGAUUUAAUGGGUCGCCAACCGCUUUUUCUCAAGAAACAGCUAUGAACGCUGAUGGGUGUCUGAGGAACAAGGCUGGGAACAGAGCCGCGUGCUACCUUGAAAGGACGGGUCAGUGACACGUUCCCAGUGGCCCCCAGGAUCACACCUCACCUGCCACCUACAGGGGCAGAUUCGUGCUUAAAGAGGACCUGCCCUUGGCCAGAGCAGGACAGCCAGAGGGGACAUUAAAUUCCUAUCUGCUUAGGUGCUUAUUCCUCUCACUCUAUUACUCAGGCCCAAGCUGCUGCCCGAAGAGACCAGGUGAUACUGUCAGGUUGCAGCAGAGCACGUAACACAUUUCUGAGCCCCUGACCGCAUGCAGCGCCAUGGCACCAUCCAGCGAUGUCACCAUCCAGCGAUGUCACAGCAACCUUGCACAGCACCGAGAAUCUUCUAGUGGCCUCGUUAAUCAAAAAAUAGAAAGAAACAGCUGAAACGCAUCCUAAUAAUUCACUUUAUGUAAUGUGAUAUACCUCAAAUAUUUUCAUUUCAAGGGGUGAUGAGUGUUUAAAAAUAUUAACGAGGUUUUGCACAUACUUUUCCUUUAUAUCAAGUCUUCUUAGGAUAAGAAAAAGUGUGUGAAAAAUCCUAAUUCUUACAUUUCGAAAAAUCCAGUACAUACUUCAGACUCACAGCACAUCUUGGUUUGGACAAGCCACAUUUCAGGUCCCUAAAAGCCACCAAAGGCGGCUCAUGGUUACCUACCUGAUGGCAACAACCAAAACCCACAGCAGCGAUAACCAAGGCGGCGGCUGCGAGGCCGUUAACUGCACUGAGCACUUGCUGUCGCCAAGGCCUUUUCAUGCAGGGCCUCCCCAGGUCGCCAUCAGGGCCCCAAGCCUUGGCUGCUGGAACCUGGAGUUUGAUGGCGAAGACGCAGAGGCACCGAGCGAUGCCUCUCCAGCCACACAGCCGCGACAGCGCUGAAUCCAGGGCUCUAGGCCCCUGUGGACACGUCCAGAGUCUACCCAUUAGGCCAUUUUUCUUAAACAUGAAAGGAACCUUAGCUACCAUUGAGUCUAACCCCUUUUUACAGACAGGAAAACUGAGGUUAAUUGUUGGGGAAAACAUCCAAUAUAGAAAUUCGAAUUAAGUUCCAUCAGUUACACAGCUGGGUGUAGUCACACUAAAUUUGAUUAGUGUGUCUAAUUUAUUUUGGCUCCCUAAACUUUACUGAUCAAUUCAGAGAGGAACACUCGUGUUGCAUAUUCAUAGAGAGAGAGCAGUAACUAAUAUAUAUAUGAUAAAGUAAACAUUUUUUAAAAAUCCUACUUAUAAUGGAGCCAAAUACUUGAAAAUAGCUAUUUUGUUGUUUUAAAACCCAUAAUUAUGUUGCGGUCUUCAACCCCAUUCUAUCCCUUCUAUGAUUCUCUCAACUAGGGUGAUGCAGAUUUAGGGGUGCUCCCGGAGGCCUCUGGAGGGCAGGAGCAGGGACCCACCAGCAGUGAACGACCCUGGGUGUCUGCUUUCCUUCGUCUGUACCUGAAAGCCGGACCAAGAACCAUCCGUUCUAAAGGCAUAUUCACUCCCGCAACUGGCAUUUACUGAGGCCACCGUGCGCCAGGUUCUGUCACAGGCAUGACUUUAAAGUCCAGAAACUGACUGUGUUUAUGAUAAACGUGAAGCAGGGAAGGGUACUGAGCUCAAGCUCAUGGCCAGAUGUGCUUCUCAAGCGGGCCUCCAAGUCCAACAGGACCCUGGUCACCUGCCCUGCACCAAUGCCCAGGGGACACUGCACUAUAAUCUAGUAACCCCCUUCAGGCACCACCAAGAGCUGCCCUGGCCUUCCGCAGCUGGCGGACCAGCACCCCAACAAUGACAGGGCACCCCUGGCUGGCGGAGGGCUCUCUCCCUCUGCGGGGCCGGGAGGUGGAGGUGCUUUAAAACCUCCCUGCAAGCAGCCCCAUUUCAAGUCCCAUGAAGCAGAAACAGGCCUGCAUUCACGGUCCAUUGUGAAACUCGAACCCGGCAGCUCAGUUCACCCUUGGGCGGGUUGCGAUCCGAGAAAGGUGACUUGGGACAGGGGCGCUGCCUGCUCUCCAGGAGGAAGCUGGGCUCGGACAGGCUGCGUUUACUUCCGGGUCUGGGGAGAGACGAGGCGAGAGGCUGCUUCUCCUAACAGCCCUCUGGCACUGCCAGGAGGCGGACAAAAGAAGCAGAAAGGAAAGCUCGUGUCUUCUGUUACAUUCAUGUUGUUUCUACAACCGUUGACAGCCAGUUUCUAAGUCUGGGACCUCACCGAUUCCUCCUGAAGCGACUUGGUGGGUGGGCGGGUGUAAUGAAGGCUUGCACUCGGUGGGUUUUCAGGUCGAACAGGCUGGGGCAGGUGGAGGAGGAAGACGCUGGCCCGAGUGCAGGUGCUCAGGCACGUCAAACGCCAAGCCGGCCGCGCCACUGCCAGGCGCACGGAAAACCCGGCCAAGGGCUGAGUGACCCUGGAGCAGGAGGCCGCAGGGCGAGAGCGGGUCCAGUGCAGCAGGAAGACGGCGGCCGAGGGCUGACCGCACUGGCCCGGCCCUGCCCAGGGCUUCCCCACCUCGGCAUGACUAACAUUUGGGGAUCAUUUUCGGGGCGGAGGGGGGGCUCUACCCAGCAACCCAGCCCGUGGGAAAACCAAAACAUGCACCGGACGUUGCCAGGUGCUCCCUGGGGUGUGUGUGUGGGGGGGCCGCCUCCGUCCCCAGCCGAGAGUCCCUGGUGUAGACACACCUCUGCAGCCCUGAAAUCUGUCAAGCUGAAUUGUUAACUCGGGUCCCAGCCUUGAGGGUAACACCUGGCAGACAGGCAGUUCGAAGGAUCAAUACCAUCGGAUUGGAAAGAGGUAUUGCUCAAGGAGCCCAGUUUAUCGCAGUAUUUGACAUUUAGAUGCAGCAGUCUGUUUCGAAAACAACCAAAGGAAGUUCACAGACAGCUUCUACACCCCAGUAAAGGCGCUGGCAUCGCCACCUUCCUUUCCUGGGGUAAAUGGGAAAGAACUAUUUGUUAAAUACGGACGUGCAAGUCAGGACCAGCCCUCCUCCCGAGACUCGGAGGCGGCAAAGCUUGCCCUGCUAUCAUUAUUUUUGCUUGGCUGUUCCUUUUGAUUCCCUCUAUUUAAUGUCUUCUGGUUGGAAGAUUCAAAAACGUGCCUGGUUGGUGCUUCAACAUUUUCCAUCUUCCUAACGUCCUCGUCCACAAUGACACAGAGUGAGUUACGUGGCCGGCCUCCGCAAAGGAGCCACGCAGUCCAGCUGUGUGGGAACACAAAUCGCAGCAGCGGACCUUGCACUGAGUGUAAGAAAGCAUACAAUACUUGGGAUAUGAGUCAAAGACUUCAACGAACUUUGCUUUCCCUGUCCUGGAAAUUCAGUUUUAUUCCACCGAUGAUGGGGCACCUGUGGUCUUCUCAGCCACGUGCCCACUCUGGCCGAUCUGGACGCCUGGACUGACGGGACGGGACGGAUGCCCCUGAUCAGUAAUAGCCAACCACCAGCCAUUUGACCUUCACCACACUCUGGCGGGAGGCGAACUCACGGUUCAUAGUCUUUCUCAGGGUUACGGUUAAGAGCCAUUUCCAAAAUAAAUGAAAAUCAAACGUAUCUUUCCUGGAUAUGACAUUUAAGGAUUGUCAUCAUAAUUUCCUUUCAAUAUGCACUGAAAGUCACUUUCUCAUAGACCACCCCAAAAUAAUUAGCUUUCUUUUAAUUACUAAGGGGGCUCUAAAGAUCAGAUAGCACUCUAAACUGCCUGCCAAUGUCUACUAAUUCUGAAUUAAAAAAAAAUCCAUACCCCAGUUGUUUGGCUGAUGGUGAAUACAGCAGACACAUCUCAGACCCUUCUCAAGGAAGAGGUCCCAUCAUGACUGCCUGAAGUUAAGAUAUGCAUUUCCUUAAGAAUUCAAUUUUAACCCAAUACUAAUUCCUUAAACAUACUUUUUAAACCAAUGUAUGUUACUUAGAGACGAAUUCUCAAAAGUAAAAUAAGAAAACAGGAAGUUCCCGUCGUGGCGCAGUGGUUAACGAAUCCAACUAGGAACCAUGAGGUUGCGGGUUCGAUCCCUGGCCUUGCUCAGUGGGUUAAGGAUCCGGCAUUGCCAUGAGCUGUGGUGUAGGUUGCAGACACGGCUCGGAUCUGGCAUUGCUUUCUCUCCAAAACCCCGAUUAAAAGGCGCUUCAGCAGGUGGUCAUCAUGAUAUGCACACGGGGCUGCCGCUGCUAAGGCAAUCAUGAUGUCACCCAGCACGCCCAGAGCCCCCAAACCUUUGGGGAUCACAUCGCUGCUUUUAAAGUAAAAUUCUUCAUGGAUGCUCUUAAAACAACUGCUAAGCAAAGGGCGAUCUGGAAC
rnacentral:lncRNA from 1 species